GAGUCUCCGAAUGAUAAAGUUAAUCAAAAUCGUCCUCGAAAGACAACGGAUAUGACCACGUUAGUCUUUCCGUCAAUUCGUCCGCUGAGCUGGUUAACGUUGGGUGACGUGUACCGUUAAGUGUCCACGUAGCACAGUAAUAAAACGACGCCACUUUGAAUGAAUUGCCUCCAUGAGCUGAGACGACGUCGUUUGGUGUUCAGGAGAGAUUGAAAACGGUGCAACCCGUCACCCCCUCUGCCAACAAGCAUCUCACUCUGUUUCGCUCCAAAACUUGUCGUCUCCGUGAAGCUAUGCCCUAAGCCUUCGACCCAACACUUGAAGCAGGCCAUCAACCUUCGUCGCUUCUUCAUGGCUUCCUCUCUCUUAUUCUCCGCAUCUUCUUCUCACUCCUUCUUCCACUUCCAUCCACUUCCACAUUCUUCUGCUACUCUCUCUUCAUCUUUCUCUCUUUCCACCUCUCACUCUUCACUCUUCAAACCCAGGGUGAGUUUACAGCUGGGAAAGUUGCCUAGUUUUCUUUUGGUGCAAAAUGGUGUCAUACCAAGGGCGUAUUAUGUCUUCACUCUCAGCAGCUGAAACUUCUCAGAAGAGUGAAAGUUCAAAAGCUUAUGGUUCUGAUCAAAUUUAUGUAUUUUUUUAGUUAGUUCAUAUCUGGAUUAAUAAUGCAAUUUAAUGAAACUAGUUAACUGCAUAUUGGAAGUGAUAUGUGCUAUUGUGUUGAAAAGAAAAUUGAGUGCCUGUAUUUCUUGUCACUUAUUGUGGGUUGCUUCACCAAAUAUGCUUUAGAAGUGGCACAGGCUUAAUAUAGUUGUAACUUUCAUAGGUACUUGAAGGCUUGGAUCCUGUUAAGAAAAGACCUGAAAUGUAUAUUGGAAGCACUGGCCCGCGUGGGUUGCACCAUUUGGUUUAUGAAAUUUUGGAUAAUGCUGUUGACGAAGCUCAAGCUGAAUUUGCUUCCAAGAUUGAUGUUGUUUUACAAUCGGAUGGUUCUGUAAGCAUAACUGACAAUGGUCGUGGGGUACGCUUUAUUUCUAAUUUUUCUCAUUGCUCUGUAUGACAGUAUAUCUUAACCUUAUGUGCUCACAAGGCUCUUUAACCAUGAUAGUAGGCAUUGUUAAUUUGAAGUUUGAAACUUGUCCAGUUGUCCUUUUAGAUAUAUAAUUUGGACUCAUAAAUUUUAGUUGUACAUAGUAUACUGAUUUUGCUUUCUAUAUUAAUCAAGAACUGUGCUAUGA